AUGAAUGGCCGGGCUCGGAGGCCGGCGGCGGCGCACGGCGCGAAGGCCGCCCCGAAGGGCGACAGGAUGAUGAUGCAGAAGGACCAGAGGAAGGCCAUGCCGGCCAAGGGGCCGACCGCCAACGCGGCGGCGAGAGGCGUGGCGAACAGAGUCCACUCGAGGCGGGAGCGGAAGCUCGCGCUGCAGCAGGAUGUGGACAAGCUGAAGAAGAAGCUGCGGCACGAGGAGAACGUCCACCGAGCUCUGGAGCGGGCCUUCACCAGGCCGCUCGGCGCGCUGCCCCGCCUGCCCCCGUACCUGCCGUCCCAGACGCUGGCUCUUCUCGCGGAGGUGGCGGUGCUGGAGGAGGAGGUGGUGCGGCUGGAGGAGCAGGUGGUCAAUUUCCGGCAAGGCAUCUACCAGGAGGCCAUCAUCUUCUCCUCCGCCAAGAACGCGCACUUUCCCGCCGGCGAGGGAUGCGUGCCGGCGCAGCCCAUGCCGUCGAGCCCAACCCCAAAUGCAGAGCUCUCUCCAACUGUUCGUCCGUCGCCGAACGGCAAGCAAACGCAAACACCAAGAAAGCCGAUCCCCGCUCAGGCGAACCAGGACGAGCACUCCGGCGGCUCCGGGGCUGGAAAGGAGAACCUGUCGUGCAGCAACACCUCGACGGCCAGAAACUGCCGCGUCUCGCCGUCGCAGAAGGUCGCCGCCAAAUCCAGGGCGCCGGCGGCGGCGGCGCCAGAGAAACGCAGGGCUGCUCCUCAGCAGGCGAUCGGUACGGCGCCUGACCGCAAAAGGGUCGCAGACGCUGCCGGCAAUGAUUCAGAGAAGGCGGCGGCCCCAGACGGGUCGAGCGCGCCCAACAGGCUGUCGGAGGAGCUGCUGAGCUGCCUGCUGACCAUCUUCUCGCAGAUGGGCUCCUCGCCGGCGGCGGCCGGCGCCGGCCAGGACGAGGAGCAGCAGCCAUUGUCCCCGUCGGUGUCCGGGUCGUCGUCGUCGGAGGACGCGUACCCGCAGGACCCCUACGGCAUCCUGGAGCUGGGCGGCCGGGGCGUCGGCCCCUACAGGCGGCUGCGCGUGGUCGACGCGGCGUCCUUCGACCGCGAUGCGCUGGCCGGCAACACGCUCCUCGCCCGGAGACUGAGGGCGUUGCUCCGGAAGCUGUCCUCGGUUGACCUGGGGGGGCUCUCGCACCAGCAGAAGCUGGCCUUCUGGAUCAACAUCUACAACUCCUGCAUGAUGAAUGCAUUCCUGGAGCAAGGGAUACCUACCACGCCCCAUAUGCUCGUGGCAAUGAUGCCAAAGGCGACGGUAGAUGUGGGCGGGCGCACGCACAGCGCCAUGUCCAUCGAGCACUUCAUCCUGCGCCUGCCCUACAGCGUCAAGCAUCAGGUGAGCCCUGAGGGCGAAGGAACGAAGGGUGGCGACGAGGCGGCGCGCGCUGGCGCCUACGGACUGGAGUGGCCGGAGCCGCUCGUCACCUUCGCGCUCUCCUGCGGGAGCUGGUCCUCCCCCGCCGUGAGGGUGUACACGGCGGCGCGGGUGGAGGAGGAGCUGGAGGGCGCCAAGCGGGACUACCUGCAGGCGGCCGUGGGGGUGUCCGCGCCGGCGAGCCUCGCCAUCCCCAAGCUGCUGCACUGGUACCUCCUCGACUUCGCCAAGGACGUGGACUCGCUCAUGGACUGGGUGUGCCUGCAGCUGCCGACCGAGCUGCAGCAGGGCGCCAUGCGCGCCGUCGCCGCCGCCGACGCGCGCCGCCGCAUCCAGGUCCUCCCCUACGAGUUCCGGUUCAGGUACCUCCUCGCCGCGUGA
rnacentral:rRNA from 1 species